rnacentral:rRNA from 1 species
UACGUGGGGGGCAAGCGUUGUUCGGAAUUACUGGGCGUAAAGGGCUCGUAGGUGGCCAACUAAGUCAAACGUGAAAUCCCUCGGCUUAACCGGGGAACUGCGUCUGAUACUGGAUGGCUUGAGUUUGGGAGAGGGAUGCGGAAUUCCAGGUGUAGCGGUGAAAUGCGUAGAUAUCUGGAGGAACACCGGUGGCGAAGGCGGCAUCCUGGACCAACACUGACACUGAGGAGCGAAAGCCAGGGGAGCAAACGGG